GACGAACGCUGGCGGCGUGCCUAAUACAUGCAAGUUGAGCGCUGAAGGUUGGUACUUGUACCAACUGGAUGAGCAGCGAACGGGUGAGUAACGCGUGUGGACUCUGCCUUUGAGCGGGGGACAACAUUUGGAAACGAAUGCUAAUACCGCAUAAAAACUUUAAACACAAUUGUUAAGGUUGAAAGAUGCAAUUGCAUCAUUCAAAGAUGAUCCCGCGUUGUAUUAGCUAGUUGGUGAGGUAAAGGCUCACUAAGGCGAUGAUAUAUAGCCGACCUGAGAGGGUGGUCGGCCAGAUUGGGACUGAGACACGGCCCAAACUCCUGCAGGAAGCAGCAGUAGUGAAUCUUCGGCCAUGGAUGAAAGUCUGACCGAGCAGCGCCGAGUGAGUGAAGAGGGUUUUCGGGUCGUAAAACACUGUUGUUGGGGUAGAACGUUGGUGGGAGUGGAAAGCUCAUCAAGUGACGGUAACUACCCAGAAAGGGACGGCUAACUACGUG
rnacentral:rRNA from 1 species